rnacentral:rRNA from 1 species
AAACUGGGAUUAGAUACCCCACUAUGCCUGACUGUAAAUUACAAGCCAAAAAAGUACGAGCCACGCUUUAAACUUAAAGGACCUGGCGGUACUCUACAUCGACCUAGAGGGGUCUGUCCUAUAAUCGACAAUCCGCGAAAAACCCAACCAUCUCUUGCCAUCCAGCCUAUAUACCGCCGUCUCCAGCACAUUUUCCAAGAAAUGAAGCAAAACAGUCCCACACACUAGCACGUCAGGUCAAGGUGUAGCCCAUGAGAUGGAAGAGGCGGACCACAAUGCCGCAACACACAGAAACCACAUUGAAACAUGUGGCGGAAGAAGAAUUUAGCAGUAAGAGGGGCCGAAUGC